rnacentral:lncRNA from 10 species
CCCCAGCACUUUCUCCCUGCAAAAAGAAGAUAUUGAUGUUUUGAGACAGACUAAAAAUCUCAUUUGCCUGCUUCCCCCUCUAAAAAAAAACACAGACUGGCAUUGUAUGGUGGGGAUGAAGUCUAUGCAGCCUUUGGGGAGACCUGGCAGCAGCUUCUCUGUUGUGUCCUUGGAGGAGUUCCAGUGCACUGCAAUUGGACAACAGCAACCAAAUGUUGCUCCCAAUCCAGCCCCAGUGGCUCCCAGCUGCCCUGGCCUGCUUUCUCAUCUGGUAAAACACAGGAGUUGGGGAGAAGAGACAAGGUUUCACCAUGUUGCUCAAGGCUGGUCUGGAAUUCAUGGGCACAAGUGAUCCACCUGCCUCGUCCUGCCAAAGUGCUGGGAUUACAGGCAUGAGGCACUGCAUCCUGCUGAGAUCUAUCUCUUAAAUAAUGGGACUUGAAAGUCGAAAUUACUCUUGAUCCAUAGGCUGCAGAAUGAAAGUUGUGUAAGCAGGCAUGAAAACAUUAAUCUCCUUGUACAUCUCCAUGAGAGAUCUCGGGUGAAUAAGCACAUUGUCAUUGAGCACUAAUAUUUCUAAAGGAAUCUUUUGUUCUGAGCAGCAGGUCUCAAUGGUGGGCUUAAAAUAUUCAGUAAACUAUGCUGUAAACAGGUGUUCUGUCAUCCAGGCUUUGUUAUUCCAUUUAUAAAGCAUAGGAUGAGGAGAUUUAGCAUAAUUCUUAAGGGCCCUACGAUUUUCAGAAUGGUAAAUAAGCAUUGACUUCAACUUCAAGUCACCAGCUGCAUUAGCCCCUAGCAAGUCAGCUUGUCCUUUUAAGCUUUGAAGCCAGAUAUUGACUUCUCCUCUCUAGCUAUGAAAGUCCUAGAUGGAAUCUUCUUCCAAUACAAUGUUGUUUUGUCUAUACUGAAAAUCUGUUGUUGAGUGUAACCACCUUCAUUGAUAAUCUUUGCUAGAUCUUUUGGAUAACUUGCUACAGCUUCUACAUCAGCACUUGCUGCUUCAUCUUGCACUCUUAUGAUACAGAAAUGGCUUCUUUCCUUCAAUCUCAUGAACCAACAUCUGUUAGUGUCAAACUUUUCCUCUGCAGCUUCCUCUUCUCUCUUAGCCUUCAUAGAAUUGAAGAGAGUUAGGGCCUUGCUCUGGAUUAGGCUUUGACUUCAGGAAUAGUGUGGCUGGUUUGAGCAUCUAUCCAGAUUACUCAAACUUUCUCCAUAUCAGAAAUAAAGUUGUUUUGCUUUUGUAUCAUUUGUGUGUUCACUGGAGUAGCACUUUUAAUUUCCUCCAAUAACUUUUUCUUUGCAUUCACAAUUUGGCUGCAAGAAGCCUAACUUUCAACCUAACUUGGCUUUAGACAUGCCUUCCUCACUAAGCUUAAUGAUUUAUAGGUUUGUUUGUUUUUUGUUUGUUUGUUUUUUUAAGAUGGAGUCUACUGUGGCUCAAGCUGGAGUGCAGCGGUGCGAUUUCGGCUCACUGCAACCUCUGCCUCCUUGGUUCAAGCUGUUCUCCUGCCUCAGCCUCCUGAGUAGCUGGGAUUACAAGCAUGCACCACCAUGCCAGGCUAAUGUUUGUAUUCUUAGUAGAGACGGGGUUUCACCAUGUUGGUCAGGCUGGUCUUGAACUCCUGACCUCAAGAGAUCUGCCCACCUCGGCCUCCCAAAGUGCUGAGAUUACAGGCGUGAGCCACCAUGCCCAGCCCACUUCUAGCUCUUGAUUUAAAGUAAGAGACAUGCAACUCUUCCUUUCACUUGAACACUUAGAAGCUGUUGUAGAGUUAUUAAUUGGCCUUAUUUCAGUAUUGUUGUUUCUUAGGGAAUCGGGAGGCCUGAGGAGAGAGAUGGACAGCUGUUCAGUGGAGCAGUCAGACACGUACAAUAUUUACUGAUUGAGUUCUCAAUUUAAUAUGGGUAGUUCAUGGUGUCCAAAACAAUUACAAUAGUAACAUCCAAGAUCACUGAUCACAGAUCACCAUAACAGAUAUAAUAAUAACAACAAUUAAAAUAUUGCAAGAAUUACCAAAAUGUGACACAGAGACCACGAAGUAAGCACAUGCUGUUGGAAAAAUGGCACCAAUAGACUUGCUUGACACAGAGUUGCCACAAAACUUCACUUUGUGAAAAGUGCAAUAUCUGCAAAGCACACUACGGCGAGGUAUGCCUGUAGCAUGUCAGCUGGUGAUAAGUGCUGUGGAGAACAGGAAAGUCGGGUGAGAGGAAAAGGGGCUGUUUGGGGCUAGAGGUGAUCUUAUAUAUGCCAGUUAGGCUGAUAACGUGCUGACUACUGACACUGACAUCUGAAUGGAGACUUGAAGGAAAUGAGGGAAGGAGCCAUGAAAAUAUCUGAUGGGAAGAGAAUUCUAAGGAGAGGGAACAUCAAGUGAAAAGACUCCACUGCAGGGAGUAUUUGGCAUGUUAAAGGAAUAGCUAGGAGGCCAGUAGGGUUGGAGCAGCAGGAGGUGGGAAAUUGUAGAUGAGGUCAGAGAGAUUGUGGGUCCUGGACCUGCAGGACAGCAUUAGGCUCAGGGGAGACAGAGGCCCACUGGAGGGCAUGGAGCAAGGCAAUGAUAGAAUCUGACUUUUAAAGAAUCCUCCCAGCUGCUGUUGUGGAAAACAUCUUGGGGCUAUGCCAUGGAACAUGAUGGAAAUCUACUUCAUUCUUGGAAGGUCUUGUAUAUGACUCAGUUGCCCUCAUUUUUUAGGUGGGUUUUUAUGCUUCUCCCCAGACAGAUUUCCAUCUAUUUGUUUCCUUUCCAAUCAUCAGAUUCUUUAAAAUGCAAAAUCUGAUUUUGUCAUCCUCCCUUUGCAACCCCUAACUUCUUUAAAAACAAAAAAAAACAAAAAACAGGUUCUCACUCUGUUGCCCAUGGUGGAGUACAAUGGCACCAUCUCAGCUCACUGCAACCGCCACCUCCUGGGUUCAAGCAAUUCUCCUGCCUCAGCCUCUCGAGUAGAUGGGACUACAGGCAAAUGCCACCACACUUGGCCAAUGUUUGUAUUUUUGUAGAGACGGGGUUUCGCCAUGUCAGCCAGUCUGGUCUUGAACCCCUGGCCUCAAGUGAUUCGCCCGCCUCAGCCUCCCAAAGUUUUGGGAUUACAGGUAAGAGCCACCCAGCCAUUGAUCCAUUUUCUAUAUUUAAAAUCAGAGAGGCUUCCUCCCCCUUUUAAAAUUAGGCAUAUAGAGAAUCUAUCUUUAGUAGAUUAAUGAUCCAUUAUCUUAACAGCUGGUAUGAGUGUUUACUAUAUGGUAUUCCCUGUUUAAGGUAUUUUGAAUGUUUAUAAUAUUACAUUUAUAUAUUAUUUGAUACUAGAACAACUAUAUAUAAUAUGUCUUUUUGUUGUGGUGGUGAUUGUUUUUUUGUUUUUGAAACAGAGUCUCAGCUGGGUGCAGUGGCUCAAACCUGUAAUUCCAGCACUUUGGGAGGCCGAGGCAGGUGGAUCACCUGAGGUCAGGAGUUUGAGACUAGCCUGGCCAACAUAAUGAAACCCUGUCUCCACUAAAAAUACAAAAAUUAGCUGAGUGUGAUCGCGGGCACCUGUAAUCUCAGCCACUCAGGAGGCUGAGGCAGAAGAAUUGCUUGAACCCGGGAACCAGAGGUUGCAGUGAGCCAAGUUCAUGCCACUGCACUGCACCCUGGGUGAUAGAGAGAGACUCUGUCUCAAAAAACAAACAAACAAACAAACAAACGAAACAGGGUCUCGCUUUGUCACCUAGGUGGGAGUGCAGUGACACCAUCUCGGCUCACUACAACCUC